UACGGAGGGGGCUAGCGUUGUUCGGAAUUACUGGGCGUAAAGCGCACGUAGGCGGCUUUGUAAGUUAGAGGUGAAAGCCCGGGGCUCAACCCCGGAACUGCCUUUAAGACUGCAUCGCUUGAACAUCGGAGAGGUGAGUGGAAUUCCGAGUGUAGAGGUGAAAUUCGUAGAUAUUCGGAAGAACACCAGUGGCGAAGGCGACUCACUGGACAUCUGUUGACGCUGAGGUGCGAAAGCGUGGGGAGCAAACAGG
rnacentral:rRNA from 1 species